rnacentral:tRNA from 1 species
GCGGGCGUCGUCUAAUGGUAGGGCCCAAGCUUCCCAAGCUUGAGGCGGGGGUUCGAUUCCCCUCGCCCGCUCCA